GCCACAACAGCUGGAAAUUCUUUGUGCUUGUCUGUAAGUCACUGUUACAAACAGGAGGCUUUUCAAACCCAACCCCAAACACAGGAAUUCUCCCCUCGUCCGUCUGUCUCCUGGGCCCCAUCGAGACAGCUGGACUUCCCACGCAAGUGAAAACAUCCAACUGUGAGUGUCCUUUCCUGGGUCAGCCUGCUCUUCCUUACCUUGAAGGAGAACAUAAAUCCCUUCAGAGAAAUGGCUAUUUUUCUCUUUCAAGUUAUGUGGAAUACUGUGUGUAGGUCUUUCAAUUUGUCCUUUGCUGGAAUGAGCAGGAAUGGAUGCAAUCUCUGCCCUGGCAGGUGGGCAUGACAUUGUAUUUACUCAGCCAGGUCUUUGAAAUGCACUGCAAAGAUAGGAGCCUCAUGCAGGAUCGUCCCACUGGCUUUUGUGAAGAUGAGUGAACCAAUGCCUUAUUAUUGAAACAGAGAAGCUUUCAGUGGAUUUGAAGUAAAGCCACAGACAGGCUGGAAGCAAGGAGACCCCAGAAUGAAGCUAAAUCUCGCAGAUGGUGCCUUUCCUCCUAGAAGCCAUGCCCCUUACUACGCUUCAGAAGCCCUCCUGCAGUAAAGACAGUGGUGGGGGGGGGGGGCGGAGCAGCGCUUCUCACGUUUGCAGAGGACUCAGCCUGGGGCAAGGAGAUGUAUCGAGAGCAUCAAAGAUUGCAGGGCCUUUUUGCCUACCUAGGUAGAGCUGGACCCUCAUUGCCCUGAGAAGGAGCCAUUCUGGGUUGAAGAUGCUGCUGGCUUCAGGACUCUGGUCUGAGAUGUCUUCCGGCUGCAUCAAACACAAAGACUUGCUUUGGGCCACCAGCCUCCUGGGCUCAUUGCCGAAGAGCAGCCACCGCUCCCCAUGGGUGGAGGUAUAUGUGUUCUCCGGAAGGCUGUCACCCAGUGUCACAGUCACUGACUGUGUCCUAACUCCCUAGAGCUCAGAUGCAUAGUGAAACCCAUGCAUGUCUGUAAUGAAAACAUCAGUUCAACUGCCUGAUAAAAUUCCUGUUCAUUGUCAA